rnacentral:rRNA from 1 species
UACGGGGGGAGCAAGCGUCGUUCGGAUUUACUGGGCGUAAAGGGCGCGUAGGCGGCCAGCACAAGUCAGUUGUGAAAUCUCCGGGCUUAACUCGGAAAGGUCAACUGAUACUGUGCGGCUAGAGUGCAGAAGGGGCAACUGGAAUUCUCGGUGUAGCGGUGAAAUGCGUAGAUAUCGAGAGGAACACCUGCGGCGAAGGCGGGUUGCUGGGCUGACACUGACGCUGAUGCGCGAAAGCCAGGGGAGCGAACGGG